AUUUAUUUACUUUGAACGUUUUCCCUGACACCUACCAGGGAGGUGCUGGCCUGGCCACCAGCCCUGGCCUCCUUGGCAAGUGGGUGUCUGCCCAGUCUUUCAUGUUCUUUCCAAAGUCACAAACAAAAUACCACAACCCGAGAAGUCACACCGGCCGACGGGCCCCUCUCCGAGCUUCAGCAAAGGCUGCGGCCAGUUGGCCCAGACUGGAGCUAGCUUUCCUUUGUCACCUGCAGAGAGCUGGGGGUGAAGUCCAAACCCCAUACCGUCAGCUCCCGGGGGGCACGGUGGGCACCCGUGGAUGGGGCUCCCUGGAUCUGCCCGGAGUUAGAUGGUAGAGGAAAGUUAGACGCGACCAGCCGGGGCUGCUCCCCGCGUUCCAAGAAUUCGUCAGCGCACACCAGCAGCUCAGCACACGCGUUCCACCGCAGAAGGGACAAAACCCAAAUUAUUCACUUUAGGGGUGAAGGGAGUUUCUCUGGAAGGUUCUACGGUCACACAGCAGAACUCGGCUGCCGCUGCUCGUUUUGCCUGGUGAAGCCUCACAAAACCAAAGCUCAGUUCCGCCAAGCGCAACCCCCAGAGAGGAGGCAGAAAGUCAGUGAGGAGACGGAAGCCAGCUGAAAAUGGAGACCGAACACAGGAAAAGAGCGUCCAGCAGCCCCACAGUCGAGGGACCCCGGCUUGGGUCUGAACUGGCGCUCCCUCCCCAACGCACACCCCCAGGCAGCCCCUUGGGAGGAGGCAGUGAGAAGAGACGGGGGGCAGCCUCCUUCACGGGGAAGCGGCGGGGCCAUGAUGCCUGGCCAGACUCAAUUCUGAGGCUGGAGGAGACGGGCCGCCACUCGGCAGAUGGCCGGGCCCAGGUGGCCCUCAGUGCCCCACGUCCACGCCCGCCCGGGAGCAGGCUCCCCUGCACGUCUGCCCUGUGGACCCGACAAAGACGGCUGUCUGCAGCCCCGCAGCUCUGCGGGGCACACAAUGCGUCCUUUCACCCCAGGUGGGUCUGGCGGAGCGUGGCCA